rnacentral:lncRNA from 1 species
GCGGUGUUGAAGGUGAAGGCGCGUGGUGGGGAGCUGAGGAGCUCAGAUUUAGGGGGCUGGCUUCCGGAGCCCCUCGAGAAGGGAAGGGGUCCCGCGUAGGGUGUUGGGGACUUGGAUUGCCACGGGGGCGGGGUCACGGGAAAGCUGGGCGAGUUCUUCUGCAGAAGCACUUGACCAAGUUUGUAUGAAACAACUUUGCUCCGCUUGUUAAGGCCGCAGAGAGCAGAGGCUGAUACUGCGCCGGCAGUCUUGCAGCCUUCUGCCAAACCAAGUAUGGCAGGAUUUGUUUCUGUGCUUGCGCGGAGUUUAAAGCUAAGCAGCUCGCAGUCUUUAAUCCAGAUUAACUGUUGCUUCUUGGAUUAGAAAGCCCGAGUCGACUUAACUUCUUUUUUUUUUUUUCCCUGAUUGCGAAAGUUAAAAUCUUAUUGUAGGAGCGCUAGAGAAUUUGAAGGAUUUUCUCGGGAUUCAUAUUCAUUCAUUCUCAUUCAUAGCCCUCCCCAUUUUUUUCUCUCUGUUUUUCCCUCUUUUCCUCUCCUUUCUUUCUUUGAGACAGCGUGCCAAGUAUCCCCAGGCAGGCCUUGAAUUUCUGAUCCUCCUUUCUCCACCUACCAUGUGCUAGGAUUUCAGGUGUGUACCACAGGCUCGGCGCAACAGUCCUGCAUGCAUGAGAGAGUGUGUGUUUAUUACUCCCAAGACUUCAUGAAUGCAUGCAACACUCUACCAACUGAACUAUAACCAUGUUGUCUUUCUUCCUUUUCUUGUGCACAAGUAUGCACAUGCAUUUGUUUUUGUUUUUUAUCAAAAACAUGAAACAAUGUAGCAUUCUUUAGGUUUCCUACAGUUUUCCUGAAGAUGCUUGUACGUUGCAUGUAUAGGUAUUUGGUGUAAACUAGAUCUGCCUUGAUAGGUCGGACCACGGAAGGAAUUUCAUAAACCCACCCUAUUCUGUUAUGAAAUUCCUCAUACAGAGUUCAUACAGAGUUGCAAGAGGACUGGUUAGUGACAGUUGCAUGUUCUCUGUGACUUAUAGAAUAUGAUAAUGCCUACCUCAUUACCAUUGGUAGACUUUCUGUAGAUAUAAUAAACAUAAGCCUACAACCUCAUAAGGUAUUUAGGUGGUGGCAUCUCACCAUUCAACUUAAGAGGUGCCACAGAGCCUACUUCCCUCUGUCAGGUGGUGGUUUUGGGUUGCCACCUGAAGGUCCUCUACACUGGAAAAACAGCCUUCCUGCUCCUGAAUGGGGAAGGUCUCCGUGGAGCUCAGGGAGAGGGGGGCUUGGGAGAAGCAGAUGGCAUCUACAGAACAAAUUAAAGAACUAUGGACUCUGUGAUAGACAAGCUAGCAGAAGAUGGAGAAGUGUCUGGAUUUCCUCUGCAGAAUGUCAGCUAUUUCUGUUGUAACAUUCCCCUUCCUGAAGUCUAAAAACACUUAAUGCAAAUUCAAGGCUGUUCUGUGUGUUCUUGCUUCACUGUUAGCUUUUGCAUUUCUGUUCCCAAAAGAGGUGGAAAAGAAACCCAAGGGUCUGAGGAACUAUUUCAAUCCUACCUCAUCUAAAUGCUGACAGAAGGUUUUUAGACACUCACAUCUGCGAUUGUUUGGGGGUAGGGACAUUUUUCCCCCUCGGUUUUAAACUUACAGCUACUCUAAAUCUCAGGAUUUUUUCUGUAAAAAGUAGCUAGUUUAUUUGCAUAAAUGAGCGAAUAAAAUUGAUUU